rnacentral:rRNA from 1 species
UACGUAGGGGGCAAGCGUUGUCCGGAAUCAUUGGGCGUAAAGCGCGUGUAGGCGGCCCGAUAAGUCCGCUGUGAAAGUCCAGGGCUCAACCCUGGAAUGCCGGUGGAUACUGUCGGGCUCGAGUCCGGAAGAGGCGAGUGGAAUUCCUGGUGUAGCGGUGAAAUGCGCAGAUAUCAGGAGGAACACCGGUGGCGAAGGCGCUGCUCUGGGCCGGUACUGACGCUGAGGAGCGAAAGCGUGGGUAGCAAACAGG